rnacentral:rRNA from 1 species
GACGUAGGGCGCGAGCGUUGUCCGGAUUUAUUGGGCGUAAAGAGCUCGUAGGCGGCUUGUCGCGUCGACUGUGAAAACCCGCGGCUCAACCCUGGACCUGCAUUCGAUACGGGCAGACUAGAGUUCGGUAGGGGAGACUGGAAUUCCUGGUGUAGCGGUGAAAUGCGCAGAUAUCAGGAGGAACACCGGUGGCGAAGGCGGGUCUCUGGGCCGAAACUGACGCUGAGGAGCGAAAGCGUGGGGAGCGAACAGG